rnacentral:rRNA from 1 species
GACGAACGCUGGCGGCGUGCUUAACACAUGCAAGUCGAACGGAAAGGCCCUGCUUUUGUGGGGUGCUCGAGUGGCGAACGGGUGAGUAACACGUGAGUAACCUGCCCUUGACUUUGGGAUAACUUCAGGAAACUGGGGCUCAUACCGGAUAGGAGCUCCUGCUGCAUGGUGUGGGUUGGAAAGUUUCGGCGGUUGGGGAUGGACUCGCGGCUUAUCAGCUUGUUGGUGGGGUAGUGGCUUACCAAGGCUUUGACGGGUAGCCGGCCUGGGAGGGUGACCGGCCACAUUGGGACUGAGAUACGGAGCAGACUCCUACGGGAGGCAGCAGUGGGGAAUAUUGCACAAUGGGCGGAAGCCUGAUGCAGCAACGCCGCGUGCGGGAUGACGGCCUUCGGGUUGUAAACCGCUUUCGCCUUUGACGAAGCGUGAGUGACGGUAAUGGGUAAAGAAGCACCGGCUAACUACGUG